rnacentral:lncRNA from 1 species
GGAAGCUCGGCGGGGCCUGGAGAGCAGCGUUCCCCGCGGCCCAUUGUCUCCACAAACCUUUAUUGACAAAACCUUCGCUUUUGCAGCUUUUCCCUCUCCCUGCGAAUCACCGUCCUCCUCCUCCUCCAAGUCCCAACCACCACCCUCACCGGCUCUUGUGGCUUUAGCUGAAAAUGGUGUUUAGGGUGAGGGUUUUGGCCUCGUGGGUGAGUCACUCAGCUCUUCCGGUCUCUAUUCACCUUGAUUCGUUUUGUCCUGUUAAUCGGUCCCCUGCCGGUGUAAUCACAGCCCAGCUGCUCCAAGGGGAGAGGACAGUUUCGAGAAGCCUUUUGUGUUGCCAAUACUCUGCCUCUGGGGCAUCCUGGUCACCUGUGGAGGUGUUUCCUGGUUGGCUUUUUUUUUUCUUCCUUUUUUACAGCCACAGCCACAGCCACAACGGAUCACCAUCUGGGACCUUCACCAUCUGGGACCUACACCGCAGCUUGCAGCAAUGCUAGAUCCUCAACCCACUGAGUGAGGCCAGGGAUUGAACCCGCAACCUCCUGGAGACAAUGCUGGGGACUUAGCCUGCUGAGCCACAGCCGGAGCUCCCAUCUCCUGGUAAUAAAGAAGAAAGGAGAACAGCCAGAACGAAGGCGCCCCAGCCCUUGUGAGCCAAGCAGUUACCAUGGAGACCGGACGUACCCGUUCCCCUGAGCCGUCUGGAAUACUGGACAAAAACGCAUGAAACAACGGUUCCGAUGUCGCCUCCCUCCUUCCCCUCAUCCCAUCCCUGUGCCUCCCUUCACUCCGUGAAGCCUUUGAAGAAUGUCAUCCUGUUCGUCUCGUUAGAACGAAACCUCCUCGAAGCUGGUGGCUGGGUCUUGUUCUGCGUCUCACGCGGCCCGCUUGCAGGCAGCAGAGGGCGCGUGAACACACAAAAGACACAAAAUUGAUGAUAGAUUUAGGAUUGUCCAUUAAAGUUUCAACAGUGUGAAUUUCACUAAAA